CAGUCGCCACGGUAAUACAGAGGGUGCGAGCGUUAAUCGGAUUUACUGGGCGUAAAGCGUGCGUAGGCGGCUUCUUAAGUCGGAUGUGAAAUCCCUGAGCUUAACUUAGGAAUUGCAUUCGAUACUGGGAAGCUAGAGUAUGGGAGAGGAUGGUAGAAUUCCAGGUGUAGCGGUGAAAUGCGUAGAGAUCUGGAGGAAUACCGAUGGCGAAGGCAGCCAUCUGGCCUAAUACUGACGCUGAGGUACGAAAGCAUGGGGAGCAAACAGGAUGAGAUACCCGAGUAGUCCCUGUCUCUUAUAC
rnacentral:rRNA from 1 species